rnacentral:rRNA from 1 species
GACGAACGCUGGCGGCGUGCUUAACACAUGCAAGUCGAACGGAAAGGCCCUGCUUUUGUGGGGUGCUCGAGUGGCGAACGGGUGAGUAACACGUGAGUAACCUGCCCUUGACUUUGGGAUAACUUCAGGAAACUGGGGCUAAUACCGGAUAGGAGCUCCUGCUGCAUGGUGGGGGUUGGAAAGUUUCGGCGGUUGGGGAUGGACUCGCGGCUUAUCAGCUUGUUGGUGGGGUAGUGGCUUACCAAGGGUUUGACGGGUAGCCGGCCUGAGAGGGUGACCGGCCACAUUGGGACUGAGAUACGGCCCAGACUCCUACGGGAGGCAGCAGUGGAGAAUAUUGCACAAUGGGCGGAAGCCUGAUGCAGCAACGCCGCGUGCGGGAUGACGGCCUUCGGGUUGUAAACCGCUUUCGCCUGUGACGAAGCGUGAGUGACGGUAAUGGGUAAAGAAGCACCGGCUAACUACGUG